AACACAUGCAAGUCGAACGCAUCGCAAGAUGAGUGGCAGACGGGUGAGUAACGCGUGGGAAUCUACCCAUCACUACGGAACAACUCCGGGAAACUGGAGCUAAUACCGUAUACGUCCUUCGGGAGAAAGAUUUAUCGGUGAUGGAUGAGCCCGCGUUGGAUUAGCUAGUUGGUGGGGUAAUGGCCUACCAAGGCGACGAUCCAUAGCUGGUCUGAAAGGAUGAUCAGCCACACUGGGACUGAGACACGGCCCAGACUCCUACGGGAGGCAGCAGUGGGGAAUAUUGGACAAUGGGCGAAAGCCUGAUCCAGCCAUGCCGCGUGAGUGAUGAAGGCCCUAGGGUUGUAAAGCUCUUUCAACGGUGAAGAUAAUGACGGUAACCGUAGAAGAAGCCCC
rnacentral:rRNA from 1 species